GUUCUGUUCGAUUUGGUUUUGUUCUGUUCAGUUGAAAAUGUUUCAUUCAAAUGAAAAGGUGGAAUUUUUUUGAAAGUUGCUUUUGCGCAUCUUUAUUGCAUAUUUUUCUUCUUCUAUUCACAAACAUUUCGGUAUGGCGCGGCCUGUAAACAACGGGGACUCCAAGUAGGUUUUUUUCAUUCACUGGCGCCAUUAGAAUUUGUAUUAAUCAGUUAUUCAUUUACGC
rnacentral:lncRNA from 1 species